rnacentral:lncRNA from 1 species
AUGACAACUGGGGACUGGAUGGUUAUGUACCAUCUGGACUUGAAAGGGAAGGGUUUACUUUUCAAGGUGACAUACACAGAAAAGACUGGGAAAUAUAAGCUGGAAAGGCAAGGUAUGCUGCACUUACUUGAUUUUUCAAAGCAAGUAUCAGGUUGGUCUGCAUAUGACUGAGCUGAGUGUGAUAGAUAGGAUGUGAUUUGAAAGAAACAGAAACAAAAAUAAUGGGAAAGACUCAUGUAUUUUACAACUGGUUGAAAAAAUAUCCCCUUCACUGGCAGCAAAAUAGAAAAUAUCAGUUGGCAUAAAUGCAAUAAAUAUGCGAGACACAGAAUAUCCUUAAUUUACCAAGAGAUAUUUUGAAAAACAGGAAAAAAAGCAAGGUGGAAAUGCAAAAGAAUAAACAAACUACAUUACCC